GAUGAACGCUGGCGGCGUGCCUAAUACAUGCAAGUCGAGCGAACGGACGAGAAGCUUGCUUCUCUGAUGUUAGCGGCGGACGGGUGAGUAACACGUGGAUAACCUACCUAUAAGACUGGGAUAAAUUCGGGAAACCGGAGCUAAUACCGGAUGAUAUUUUGAACCGCAUGGUUCAAAAGUGAAAGACGGUCUUGCUGUCACUUAUAGAUGGAUCCGCGCUGCAUUAGCUAGUUGGUAAGGUAACGGCUUCCUAAGGCAACGAUGCAUAGCCGACCUGAGAGGGUGAUCGGCCACACUGGAACUGAGACACGGUCCAGACUCCUACGGGAGGCAGCAGUAGGGAAUCUUCCGCAAUGGGCGAAAGCCUGACGGAGCAACGCCGCGUGAGUGAUGAAGGUCUUCGGAUCGUAAAACUCUGUUAUUAGGGAAGAACAUAUGUGUAAGUAACUGUGCACAUCUUGACGGUACCUAAUCAGAAAGCCACGGCUAACUACGUG
rnacentral:rRNA from 1 species